AUAGGUAGAGGUCACCAGCAUAGGUCAGAGGGGAUAUUGUAUGUAACUGGUGACAUUUGAAAGAGACAUAUUGGACAGAAAUGACAUACGUGAAAGCUAAGAUACAAUAUAUUUAAUUUUCUAAGAAUUCAGUUCAAGGUAGUCUGCCUGGUUUCUCAAGUUCUGCAUGUUUCUUCAGUAGACUAAAUAAUGAUAAGGAAGCUGAGAUGUAGAGCUGAAGUGUCUUGCCCAAGAUCAUUUGUCUAGUUCUUCCUUAUGCCAGUCCACCAAGAAUACCUGCUUAAAGGCCAGCUGCAGCUCCUGUUCCACUUCCUUUCUUGUACUGCUGAACAUCCAGAUAGAGGCAUUGACAUGCAUGGUUUCCAACUGAUCACUUCCUACUCCCUUAAGGACCUCCUGUCAGGCAGUUUUGCUAAUUUCUUUAAUAUCAGAAGACAGCUGGAUUCUCAUUUCUGCUUCUGCAUUCAGUCUAUUGUGAUAUAGCAUAUCAUGUAACUUCUGAAAAACUUCACUGUACACAGAUGCUGACCUCACAGACUCCCUGAAAGGAUCUCCAUGACCUCUAUGGUUCCUUAGACUGCACUUUGAGAACUAUUGACGUACAGGGAAAAAUGCUCUUGGUGCCAAGAAGGGAUUCCGAAGAUAGAAGAGGAGGCAUCAACACCGUGAACAUCAUGGCUGAGUUAUUUUGUGAGAGGGAUAAGCCUAAAGUAAAAACCUUGGAUUUGCCUCUGUCCUUGAACAUGCUAUCUGGAAAGAGUUUUCUUAAAAGUAUUGUUGUGAACACAUCCAUUUUCCCAGUAUAGUUGAAUGCAGGGUUUAAUAAAUGGAAUGAAUCUA
rnacentral:lncRNA from 1 species